rnacentral:rRNA from 1 species
UACGAAGGGGGCUAGCGUUGCUCGGAAUCACUGGGCGUAAAGCGCACGUAGGCGGAUUUCUAAGUCAGGGGUGAAAUCCUGGAGCUCAACUCCAGAACUGCCCUUGAUACUGGCGAUCUCGAGUCCGGGAGAGGUGAGUGGAACUGCGAGUGUAGAGGUGAAAUUCGUAGAUAUUCGCAAGAACACCAGUGGCGAAGGCGGCUCACUGGCCCGGUACUGACGCUGAGGUGCGAAAGCGUGGGGAGCGAACAGG